rnacentral:rRNA from 1 species
CCUACGGGAGGCUGCAGUGGGGAAUAUUGGACAAUGGGGGGAACCCUGAUCCAGCCAUACCGCGUGUGUGAAGAAGGCCCUCGGGUUGUAAAGCACUUUCAGUGAGGAAGAACGCCUGGUGGUUAAUACCCAUCAGGAAAGACAUCACUCACAGAAGAAGCACCGGCUAACUCCGUGCCAGCAGCCGCGGUAAUACGGAGGGUGCGAGCGUUAAUCGGAAUUACUGGGCGUAAAGCGCGCGUAGGUGGCUUGAUAAGCCGGUUGUGAAAGCCCCGGGCUCAACCUGGGAACGGCAUCCGGAACUGUCAAGCUAGAGUGCAGGAGAGGAAGGUAGAAUUCCCGGUGUAGCGGUGAAAUGCGUAGAGAUCGGGAGGAAUACCAGUGGCGAAGGCGGCCUUCUGGACUGACACUGACACUGAGGUGCGAAAGCGUGGGUAGCAAACAGGAUUAGAUACCCCAGUAGUC